UCGAUACCUGCUCAGCAGAACGACCCGCGAACACGUGAAAACAACCACACGCCGGGGCACAUGGCGUGGCAACCUCGUCGUUGCCUCCGACACGUGCUCCAGCAAAACAUCAAAUCCGGCGCAACUGGCGUCAAGGAAAACUUAGCGGAAACAAGGGGUCGACCCGUCACAAGGACGACGCCAAGAAUCCGAAUACUCAAACGACUCUCGGCAACGGAUAUCUCGGCUCUUGCAUCGAUGAAGAACGUAGCGAAAUGCGAUACUUGGUGUGAAUUGCAGAAUCCCGUGAACCAUCGAGUCUUUGAACGCAAGUUGCGCCCGAAGCCAUUAGGCCGAGGGCACGUCUGCCUGGGCGUCACACACAGCGUCGCCCCCCACCAAUCCCGUUGGAUGGGGGACGGAAAUUGGCCCCCCGAGCCCUUCUGGGCACGGUCGGCACAAAUAUUGGUCCUCGGCGGCGAGCGUCGCGGUCAGCGGUGGUUGUAUUCUCAUCCCCCAAAGACAAAAAUGACGCGUCUGCUUCGUCGCCUGUAGGGCAGAACUAACCCCAAGAAGUUCCUCUCGAGGACUUCCACCU
rnacentral:misc_RNA from 1 species